GCUUACGGCCAUACCAGCCUGUACGCCCGAUCUCGUCCGAUCGCGGAAGAUAAAACGCGUUUGGUCUUGGCCAGUACUUGGAUGGGAGACCACAUAGGAACCCCGAGUGCUGACAGCU
rnacentral:rRNA from 1 species